rnacentral:rRNA from 1 species
GAUGAACGCUGGCGGCGUGCUUAACACAUGCAAGUCGAACGGAAAGGCCCUGCUGUUGUGGGGUGCUCGAUUGGCGAACGGGUGAGUAACACGGGAGUAUCCUGCCCUUGACUUUGGGAUAACUUCAGGAAACUGGGGCUAAUAUCGGAUAGGAUCUCCUGCUGCAUGGUGGGGGGUGGAAAGUUUCGGCGGUUGGGGAUGGACUCGCGGCUUAUCAGCUUGUUGGUGGGGUAGUGGCUUACCAAGGCUUUGACGGGUAGCCGGCCUGAGAGGGUGACCGGCCACAUUGGGACUGAGAUACGGCCCAGACUCCUACGGGAGGCAGCAGUGGGGAAUAUUGCACAAUGGGCGGAAGCCUGAUGCAGCAACGCCGCGUGCGGGAUGACGGCCUUCGGGUUGUAAACCGCUUUCGCCUGUGACGAAGCGUGAGUGACGGUAAUGGGUAAAGAAGCACCGGCUAACUACGUG